UAAAAAUUGCUGUUAAUUUACGUCAAAAUUUUAACAGUAUAAACCCGUUAUUUUAAAAAGCAGUGCUUACCUGUUUAUUUACGUUCGGUGAAAUGACCUAGAUAAAAUUUAACGUUAUUUUACCGUAUUUAUUGCUCGAAGGAAAGAAAACAGUACUUAACAGUAUUUUGGGAACAGAAAGCUGCAGCGAGCACAUGUGGAUUUCCAUCCGUCUUUAUAUUGUGAUUUAACCGUGCUAAAAUCGUCAACGUUCCAACGGCAUCAUAGAUUGGAGCUGGAUAGAUUCAGAUAUUCCCCGAUUACAAGGCAUCUUCCACUGCAGCUGAUGUAGAAAGGACACUUGAACUACCUUCAACUCCUCAACUGAUACUCUU